rnacentral:rRNA from 1 species
UGAAUACGAGACGCUAAGGCGUCGAAGUAGUGUAUAUCAGACUUCCAAGAAAAGCUUGCACUGUCAUAGAUAAAAAAUGCCUGUACCAUAACCGACACAGGUGGGUAGGUAGAGUAUACUAAGGGGCGCGAGAUAACUCUCUCUAAGGAACUCGGCAAAAUAACUCCGUAACUUCGGGAGAAGGAGUGCCUUAUUUAUAAGGUUGCAAUAACAAGAUCCAAGCAACUGUUUAUCAAAAACACAGGUCUCCGCUAAGUCGUAAGACGAUGUAUGGGGGCUGACGCCUGCCCAGUGCCAGAAGGUUAAAGAAGUUGGUUAGCAAUUGCGAAGCUGAUAACUGAAGCCCUGGUGAACGGCGGCCGUAACGAUAACGGUCCUAAGGUAGCGAAAUUCCUUGUCGGGUAAGUUCCGACCCGCACGAAAGGCGUAAUGAUUUGGAUACUGUCUCGGAGAGGGGCUCGGUGAAAUAGACUUGUCUGUGAAGAUGCGGACUACCUGCACCAGGACAGAAAGACCCUAUGAAGCUUUACUGUAACUUGAAGUUGAAAUUGGACUUUAUUCGCGCAGCAUAGGUGGGAGGCGUUGAUUAUAAUCUUGCGGGAUUAUUGGAGCCAUCAGUGAGAUACCACUCUUGUAAUGUUAGAUUUCUAACUUUGAAUCAUUAUCUGGUCAAAGAACAGUUUCAGGCGGGCAGUUUGACUGGGGCGGUCGCCUCCUAAAUGGUAACGGAGGCGUACAAAGGUUUCCUCUGAACGGUUAGAAAUCGUAUCUAGAGUGUAAAGGCAUAAGGAAGCUUGACUGUGAGACCUGCAAGUCGAGCAGGGACGAAAGUCGGUCUUAGUGAUCUGACGGUACUGAGUGGAAAGGCCGUCACUCAACGGAUAAAAGUUACUCUAGGAUAACAGGCUGAUCUCCCCCAAGAGUUCACAUCGACGGGGAGGUUUGGCACCUCGAUGUCGGCUCAUCGCAUCCUGGGGCGGUAGUACGUCCCAAGGGUUGGGCUGUUCGCCCAUGAAAGCGGUACGCGAGCUGGGUUCAGAACGUCGUGAGACAGUUCGGUCCAUAUCCGGUGUAGGCGUUAGAAUAUUGAGAGGAGCCUUCUUUAGUACGAGAGGACCGAGAAGGACAUACCUCUGGUGUACCAGUUAUCGUGCCAACGGUAAACGCUGGGUAGCUAUGUAUGGAGUGGAUAACCGCUGAAAGCAUCUAAGUGGGAAGCCCACCUCAAGAUAAGUAUUCUCACC